GCUUCUGGGAGCCUCGGUUUAGAAAUAAAAACAGGAUCGGGACCGUUAGCGUGCUUACUUUGUGUAUGUUUUCGUCGCCAAUAGCGACUGCAGCUAAAUCGAUAUCCUGUCUGCAAAUAUACACGAGUUUGCCACCGAUUGAGUCGGAAUCCCAUUUUCGGAGACACUGCGCUUAGCGGGCAGAUUGAAAUGGACUUCAGCCCGGACAGCCGUCACGUCCAGCCUGGCCGAAGACGCGGAAUCCCUCAGCUCUCGCUGUCGGAUUUGGUGUCCACGGGCUCCCCGUGGGUCAAAACUCUGUCCUUCUCCCCCGCUGGACCCACGGACGUGCUGUCGCCCGAGACUAAUUUGUCCAUGAACAGGAACACCCUGGCAGUUCUCGGAAGGUUUGAAAGAGCCCUUCAGGAGACCACUGAGGCUCGUGCUGUUUCUCCCCCCUCCCUUCAUUCUAGCAAUAACAUGGCCAUCAGAAGGAUUAAUUCCCUACUGGUAGGUUGUCAACCAAACCAUAAUUAUAUUAUACAGCUCUAUAGCUUUUAUCUAGUUUUCUGUUAGGAUAAUGGCAUUUUUGGUCAUGCGCGUGCUCUCAGUACUGCAGACAAAGAGAACGUACAGGUGUGUGUGUGUGUGUGUGUGUGUGUGUGUGUGUGUGUCUUGUAUGAGCUAAAUAAAUGUACUAAUACUGUGUGUACUGUUACGUCCCUGGACGUAUGCUCUCACGUGUUCUGUGUGGCUGGCUGUGUCCUGUGUAUUUUUGUGUCCUGUCUCUUUUAGGUUGACUUCGAGGGAGGAAUCCCUAUUGGUCACCUCCACCUAUAUAAAGAGACUUCGGAUGAUGUUCAGGAGGUCCCCAGGGUCUGCUGGGCCCUUACUAUUUUGGGAGAUCCCCAGGGUCCAUGGAGAUCUGCAAGGAGCUCUGUUGGGGAUCUCAUUCGUGUGUCUUGUUGCUUUGUGUGAUAGACCCUUUGUUGUUGGCCUGGUAGCUUUAUGUGCCUUUUUUCAUUAACUUUUGUGCAUGUUUGAGAAAAUCCCUUCCUUUAGGCUGAUAAAUGGGGGAUUGUCGUCAAGGAUGUUUUCCCCUGGUUCGGUGUUUGUGAUCAGAGUCUUAUAUCCGGUAAGUUAGGGUGUCUCUUGGGGUCUUUGCUGUGGCAAUGCCCUCCCUGCAGAGCACCACUUUUGUUAUAUUUCCUUUCUUUCUUUUGGAGCUACUCUGGGUGGGGGGACGUCGUCACACGGACAGCCUCGGCUUGAGUCUGACCGGGGUGACGUUCGGCCUUCAACCCUCCGAAGAUCUGGUAGGUUAAGGCAUCUUAUGUUAGGCAGGUUUAGGACCGGAUUUACUAUUUUGCUGGGGUGUUUGUGGCCUCAGGUACACGUUCGGUGGAGAGGAGUUGUGUAAGAUGGGGUGGUUGUCAGUAUUCAGCAUUUCUUACACCCCAUAGACUUAGGAACGUGACAGUACAUGUGUGAUAGGAUGGUUGUGUGUUCAAGAAGCCGACCCACCCAGUCUCUCGCUCUCGACUUCCUUCUCGUACAAAUGGAGAUGCGUUUUCUCAGCGACCCAACUGUGCUCGUGCACUAAUGAUGAACACACACACACACAGUUUCUUACUUAUAUCUAUUUACCGCAUUUACAAUGACUACUUCCUUGAAAUCCUAGAUGAUAUGGAGGUAUUGCCUUUUUCCUUUUGCUGUCCCAGUGGGACUAAAUGAGUGUCUUGUGAGUUCCAGAAUGUUCAGAGGAGUGAUUGUUAUUAUUCAUAGCUGUGAUUGUUUGCUGCCAUGACAGUUUAAUGUUUCAUACUCAAACAGUUCUGUCUAAUCCUUAAAAUGACAUUUAAUUCUGGAGUGUUCCAGUGGGAAUGGCCAGACUCUAUACUGCUCCACUAGUGACUGAACGUCCUGCAUUGGUGAGACAUGCUUUGAUUAUUUACUGUUUGUUUCUUUUGAAUCUUCUGUAGAUUCUGACUCUACAUCUUUUUCCUCCUGGUCUGUAGCCUGUGAUUCGCUGUCAGCGACGUGGGCUUUUCCGUAUUUGAUGGAGCAGAUACCUCUCUGGAAGAGUGUGAAUGAGGCCUUUAAAGAGGACCAUCAGAAAUUCCAUCAGAAGGGCCUGACCUGGGCUGAGGACUCCAAAAAAACAGAUAUUGUACAUUAUGUAAAUAAAUUGUUCAUUCAUGGGUGUCAAUACCCAGGUAUGUUUUUGAGAAUAAAACACGUCUGAGCAUCUUAUGUGGUUUCAGUUUCCCUAUUUUAAAAGUUAAUAUAAAGUGUGUUUACAGCCUAAUUGAACAGUUGUCUUUUACAUCCCCUCAGUCUUUUCAAAUUGUGCCCUUGAAGUGUGUGUGUGCGUGUGUGUGUGUGUGUGUGUGUGUGUGUGUGUAAGCUUAUUCUGAGUGGGAACAUUUACCAACCGCUCCCCCUGGGGAUAUGGGGAUUUUAAAACCUUGUCUUUUUCAUUUAUUGUUCACAAAACAAGGAGUUUAUGUCAAAUAUCUAUAUAAUUAUUACAACUGAUAAUAGAAUGUUGAUGAAAAUGUCCAUUUUCCCACAGCUUUACACACAAAUGCAUGUCUAAGAAGUAGACUAAUGUAAAUGAUACAAGGUUGAAAAAAAAAAAAAAACUACUAGAAGGCUAACUGUAAUAACUGUAAUAAACAGAA
ensembl:lncRNA